rnacentral:rRNA from 1 species
CACGUAGGGGGCGAGCGUUGUCCGGAUUUAUUGGGCGUAAAGAGCUCGUAGGCGGCUCGGUAAGUCGGGUGUGAAAACUCUAGGCUCAACCUAGAGACGCCACCCGAUACUGCUGUGGCUAGAGUCCGGUAGGGGAGCAUGGAAUUCCUGGUGUAGCGGUGAAAUGCGCAGAUAUCAGGAGGAACACCAGUGGCGAAGGCGGGUCUCUGGGCCGAUACUGACGCUGAGGAGCGAAAGCAUGGGGAGCGAACAGG